rnacentral:tRNA from 1 species
GUAGCUCAGAGGAGUAGAGCACUGGUCCUAUAUACCAGAGGUGGUGGGUUCAAAACCCAGCC